rnacentral:rRNA from 1 species
UCUUGGUCCAUUAGAGGAAGUAAAAGUCGUAACAAGGUUUCCGUAGGUGAACCUGCGGAAGGAUCAUUAUCGUAGGGCCCGCAUGGGCCCUGGUAAGAUAGCGUCCUUUGCGUACUUGAGCUCCGUUCUGUUUCCUCGGCGGGCUUGCCCGCCACACGAGGACCCCCACAAACCUCUUGCAAACGCAGCAUACAGUCUGAGAAAAACAAUCAAAACCUAAUCAAAACUUUCAACAAUGGAUCUCUUGGUUCUGGCAUCGAUGAAGAACGCAGCAAAAUGCGAUAAGUAGUGUGAAUUGCAGAAUUCAGUGAAUCAUCGAAUCUUUGAACGCACAUUGCGCCCUUUGGUAUUCCUUAGGGCAUGCCUGUUCGAGCGUCAUUUACACCCUCAAGCGCAGCUUGGUGUUGGGCGCCUGUCCCCGUCCCACCCCCCAGGGGGUUGCGCGGACUCGCCUUGAAACUAUUGGCAGCGGACCCCGUCGGCCCCCAGCGCAGCAGAAUUGCGUCCCUGGGCGGCCCGGCGGGGCGCUCUCCACGAAGCUCUCCACCCAAGU